UACAGAGGGGGCAAGCGUUAUUCGGAAUUAUUGGGCGUAAAGGGCGCGUAGGCGGCCGGACAAGUGGAAGGUGAAAUCCCCGAGCUCAACUCGGGAACUGCCCUCCAAACUGUUUGGCUUGAGUCCGGGAGAGGUGAGUGGAAUUCCCAGUGUAGCGGUGAAAUGCGUAGAUAUUGGGAGGAACACCAGUGGCGAAGGCGGCUCACUGGACCGGAACUGACGCUGAGGCGCGAAGGUCAGGGGAGCAAACGGG
rnacentral:rRNA from 1 species